rnacentral:tRNA from 1 species
AAAGUGGUAGUUUAUAGGUAAAACGUUAAGUUGCAAACUUAAAGAAGGGACCGGCCCCCACUUUU